CGCGUAGGUGGUUAUUUAAGUCAGAUGUGAAAUCCCUGGGCUUAACCUAGGAAUUGCAUUUGAAACUAGAUGGCUAGAGUAUGGUAGAGGGAAGUGGAAUUUCCGGUGUAGCGGUGAAAUGCGUAGAUAUCGGAAGGAACAUCAGUGGCGAAGGCGACUUCCUGGACCAUUACUGACACUGAGGCGCGAAAGCGUGGGGAGCGAACAGGAUUAGAUACCCUGGUAGUCCACGCCGUAAACGAUGAGAACUAGAUGUUAGGGGGCUUAGACCUUUUAGUAUCGCAGCAAACGCGUUAAGUUCUCCGCCUGGGGAGUACGGCCGCAAGGUUAAA
rnacentral:rRNA from 1 species